rnacentral:rRNA from 1 species
UUGAACACUUUGAUAUCUAACCAUGACCCCUUAUCGGGGUUUGGGACCCUGUAUGGUGGGUAGUUUGACUGGGGCGGUCGCCUCCUAAAGAGUAACGGAGGCGCGCGAUGGUAGGCUCAGACCGGUCGGACAUCGGUCGUUGAGUGCAAUGGCAUAAGCCUGCCUGACUGCGAGACUGACAAGUCGAGCAGAGACGAAAGUCGGUCAUAGUGAUCCGGUGGUCCCGCGUGGAAGGGCCAUCGCUCAACGGAUAAAAGGUACGCCGGGGAUAACAGGCUGAUA